rnacentral:rRNA from 1 species
UACGUAGGGUGCAAGCGUUGUCCGGAAUUAUUGGGCGUAAAGAGCUCGUAGGCGGUUCGUCGCGUCGGCUGUGAAAUCCCGAGGCUCAACCUCGGGUCUGCAGUCGAUACGGGCGGACUGGAGUUCGGCAGGGGAGACUGGAAUUCCUGGUGUAGCGGUGAAAUGCGCAGAUAUCAGGAGGAACACCGGUGGCGAAGGCGGGUCUCUGGGCCGAUACUGACGCUGAGGAGCGAAAGCGUGGGGAGCGAACCGG